CUACGUGCCAGCAGCCGCGGUAAUACGGAAGGUCCGGGCGUUAUCCGGAUUUAUUGGGUUUAAAGGGAGCGUAGGCUGGAGAUUAAGUGUGUUGUGAAAUGUAGACGCUCAACGUCUGACUUGCAGCGCAUACUGGUUUCCUUGAGUACGCACAACGUUGGCGGAAUUCGUCGUGUAGCGGUGAAAUGCUUAGAUAUGACGAAGAACUCCGAUUGCGAAGGCAGCUGACGGGAGCGCAACUGACGCUGAAGCUCGAAGGUGCGGGUAUCGAACAGGAUUAGAUACCCUGGUAGUCCGCACAGUAAACGAUGGAUGCCCGCUGUUGGUACUUGGUAUCAGCGGCUAAGCGAAAGCAUUAAGCAUCCCACCUGGGGAGUACGCCGGCAACGGUGAAACUCAAAGGAAUUGACGGGGGCCCGCACAAGCGGUGGAGCAUGUGGUUUAAUUCGAUGCAACGCGAAGAACCUUACCUACUCUUGACAUCCAGAGAAUUCGCUAGAGAUAG
rnacentral:rRNA from 1 species